GUUUAGCUCCAUAAGCUUGUCCACAUGUGGUUUCUAGUCCACUAGCCAUUCCCAUCUGAAGCUGAAACCGGUGACACCAGCAAAGGAAAUGGCUAAGGCGGCACUAGAGAGAUAGAGUUCACCUAAGUGACCAACAAUCAUGAUGGACACAACUUGUAAAAGAUAUUGUGAAGAUGUUACAGCUACCAUAGGACCUGAUAGGUUGGUGAAGAGGGGAAGACGUUUAAAAUUAUUGCCCAUAAGUGACCUAACAAUUAUUAUUAGAAGACCCUGGUGGCGGCCGACCUUGCAUAUAUUAUGUAUUGUCCUUACCAACUGAGCUAAACUCACGAGGACAGAAGACCCUCAUCAAGUAACAAUGUGAUUAUGUUGGUUGAUACCAUAUUAAUUAUGAACAAAAAACUUAAUUAAAAGAAGUUUAAUUUUUUUUUUUUUUUUUUAAGUAUUUUAGUUGCUAGAAAUUUACCUUUUAAGUUAAGGUGGGGAUAAACGAGGAAUCUAACGUUCGAACCUCAGUCCUUGCAUACUGUAAUGUUUCCAUGUCAACCUUAGAGAAACAAAGUUUAAUUUUUUUUGGCCGGUAUAAAAAGUUUUAUAUUGCCAUCAAAUCACAAAUAGUGUGACUUUAAAAUUGGAUAUAAUUAAAAAUCAAAUAUUUUUUUAAUGAUUCAACAAUUAGGAGUGAUUGACAUUGUAAAUAAUAAUAUUUACAUCAACAACUUAUAUUCAACUAAAUAAAAUAAAAAAUUAAAUUGUCAUACGACAUUAGUGUAAUAGAAGCUGGACUUAUUUUUCUUUAAUAUGACAAAACUGGGUUUGUCCUUUCUUUUUUAGAGGCUGGAUUUAUCCAUUUUUACAAGUGGAUUUGUCCACUUGUAAAUGAUAUUAAUAUUUUUGAAUAUCAUGAAUCAAUGAUCGGGGUAUGACUAGUUUUACUAUUGUGUUAUUAUUGAUUGAUAAAUGAAAAUGACGCAAACACAUAGAUGUAGAUAGAUUUCCUUGGUGUUAAAUGCAGGUCUUGUUCCUGUUGUUGACAAUGGAAACAUCAAACAAAUCUUGAGACUCCACUGUGAUUGGAUCAACAUAGAAAGUAUGAACUCGAAACACAAACAUCUGGUCAAGGUUGCUGCAGCAGAGAAGAUGUUGAGAAAGCUAAAGAGCAACUAUGUACAUUUUCAUAUUGCGGCUGGUUAGAGGUCACUGUGAUUCUGGUAAACUCAUUGUGAUGUCAAACAAAGGCAAAACUAUGAUUGUCUGUGGCGUGGUAGUUUUGGCUAUCCCAAUUUUUUUUAUUUGAAUAAUUUAGUAUAUUGUGUAAUUAG
rnacentral:lncRNA from 1 species